CUAAAAUGAAGGAACAAGCCAGCAUAUCCUAGUUAUCCUUGCGACUCAUUUUGACUCGAAAAACGUUUGAAACAAGUCCCAUUCAAGCAUCGUAUAACCAUGCUCUGAUACCACCUUUGUGACACCCCCGAUCUGGUCUAAGUAUAAGUUGACUCGACCAGCCGUGCAACAAUUAAACAAGAACAUGCACAGCCGAUCACUCGUAACUGAUACCAAACCGAGAAGCCACAAUGUGUACAUAAACGACUAACCCGAAGUUCCCGAAAUAAAUCCAGGUACCUUAGGCCUACCGCCUAAGUACACAUAUCCUAUUAGGUACAACCCGAGGCUUUACAACCUUAAGAGUAAUACCUAAUAGUUGGUUCGUCCGGACAAGGACUAAUAUCAUUUGGAACCCGUACUUUAAAAACAUUCUUUAUACACUAUAUACUUAUUCAUUUAAAAGAAUCUUACAAAAUCUUAUAGAUUAACCUCGAGGUUUUCGGUCUACAAAUCUUAUUCAUAAGAUAUAUCAAAAUGACUUUGCAAGGAUAAUAAAACUACCGCUGGCUAAUGCCGUUCCUUCCCGUCCUAGAGUAAAGGUCUUCCACCUACUGGUUACCUGCAUAUCAAAUGAGUCAUGAGUAACUAGUUUACUCAGUGAGUCUAAUCCCACACCCAAACACAUAUCAAUAGUAUCCCAAGCAAGCGACACCAUUUGAAUGCAGUGGAAUUAUAUUCCAUAAUUAAUAUAAUUAUAAGGCCUCUCAAUCCAUCCAUGUGAAUCUAUCUUAAACAUUAACUCCACGAUACCCGCCAAUCACUCAUAUUCUUAAUAUAUAUAUAUAUGCUAAACCCGGAAAACCACCAAGGCUAACCGAGCCUAACGGGGAAUAAAUAUAACCAUCAUCUCCAUCAGAUAUUCCAAGAUAGAACAUCCAACGUUGCAUGCAGUUACACGGCCUCCAGGGUGCAAACCUAUCAUCGUGUCUUCAUGACCUUGAUUCAUAUCGCAGGACCAAUUCACGGCAAUGCGGGACUUUCGGGAGAGUGAGUAUACAAUAAUUAAGACUUCACAUGAUUCACACUUAUUAAUAUAAUACUUAUAGAUUAGUACUUGAGAACAAGUACUAAGGCUUAGGAUAACCUCAAAGAAUUAUUCUUAUUAAUUCUUAAGUAUUUAAACUAGAUAUAUACUUCAUAUGUAAAUAUAGAUCAAGGGAUAAUACUUAAUCAAUCAACCAUAAUUACUCCUUAAUUAAUCCAUGAUUAAUCCUUAAUUAAUCAAUGAUUAUCCCUUAAUUAAUUCAUGAUUAACUCUUAAUUAAUCAACCAUAUUCAAUAUGAAAUCGUGCAUACUCAUUCAUAAUUCAUUCAUCAUCUAUCUAGACUCACCUUUAAAUCCAUGAGAUUGGCUAAGGAAGACUAGACUCGAGCUCAAGCUAAUCACACUUCACUUUUGGAUCACUCUCGGUUCAGAACCAUCACAAGGAUCCGGCUGAUCCGAAUACUCUCCUUGGCCAUCUGAAUUCAAAACAUAACAGUUGGAACAUAAGGUUCACUAGUCUGGUUCAAGAAGAAACUCAACUCAGUUCAUAACAUUUCAGUUCUGUUCUCUCAUAUCAGUUCGGUUCAAGACAGAUUGAUACCAUGUUCAGCUCGGUUCAAGCUUUAACAAUUUAACUCGGUUCAUAUCAGCUUAGUUCAUGCUCAGCUAACUCCGGUUCUAAUCAGUUCCCAAUAGCUUAACUCAGUUAUACUCAGACGACAUCAGUUCAAGACAAUUUCAGACCAUAGACAGCUCGGCUCAGAUCAGAUCAGAACAUACUCAGCUCAAUUCAGUUCUAAACAAGAUCAAAUCAGUUCGGUUUAAUUCCCAUAAUUCUUAUCAGUUCGUCUACUGGUUCUAUGAGACUGAAUAAAUCAUAAACCAACCAAGAUUGAAGAGAACAAGACCUUAGACAACUGAUCCUGACAGGUUAACCAAUAUACAGCAAUUGGUUCUCAUCAAAACAUGGCUGAAUCAAGAAGCUGAAGCUUACCGGUUUUACUCAACUAAUUAGACUUGACUGGUUGUCUCUCUUCAAGCUAACCAUGAAUUAACCUGAUCAACACCACAAGAAUCCAUGGUUGGAUUUAUUCAGAAUUUAUCUCCAGUGUGAGCAAACCAACAAAACUUCUCACAGAAACUGAUCCACAACCAUCUUACCGAUCAAAAUCAAAGGCUGAAGAACAUGGGUGAUUCUCUAUUUCAGGAUGCCAAAUCUUCAGCUCUUAAAAACUCCAAAACACACUGAUUAAAUUCACAGAAGGGUGAGAAAGGUUCGUCCAUGCUCACUUCUCUUCUCUGAUUUUUUUCUGAAUUUUUGCAUGAGUUUUUUUUCACAGAUUUUUCUCUUUUCUUUCUCUCUUUCUCUCUGAAAUUUUCUCUGGUUUUUCUUGUGCAACAGGACGUCCAGAUAAGAGAAGAAGGUAUUUUAUAGCAUGAGGGGUUGCUUCAGCUGAGGGUUUACUUAAACCA
rnacentral:ncRNA from 1 species